UUUACGUUAGCGGCGGACGGGUGAGUAACACGUGGGUAACCUACCUAUAAGACUGGGAUAACUUCGGGAAACCGGAGCUAAUACCGGAUAAUAUUUCGAACCGCAUGGUUCGAUAGUGAAAGAUGGUUUUGCUAUCACUUAUAGAUGGACCCGCGCCGUAUUAGCUAGUUGGUAAGGUAACGGCUUACCAAGGCGACGAUACGUAGCCGACCUGAGAGGGUGAUCGGCCACACUGGAACUGAGACACGGUCCAGACUCCUACGGGAGGCAGCAGCG
rnacentral:rRNA from 1 species